rnacentral:rRNA from 1 species
AUUGAACGCUGGCGGCAGGCCUAACACAUGCAAGUCGCGCGAGCGGCGGCCGGGUGAGUAAUGUAUGGGGCGCUGCCUGAUGGCGGGGGAUAACUACUGGAAACGGUAGCUAAUACCGCAUACCAUCAGCUGCACCCAUGUGGGAUUAGCUAGUAGGUAAGGUAACGGCGUACCUAGGCGACGAUCCCUAGCUGGUCUGAGAGGAUGUACAGCCACACUGGAACUGAGACACGGCCCAGACGCGUACGGGAGGCAGCAGUGGGGAAUAUUGCACAAGGGGCGCAAGCCUGAUGCAGCAAUGCCGCGUGUAGGAAGAAGGCCUUCGGGUUGUAAAGGACUUUCAGUCGGGAGGCGUUACCGACAGAAGAAGCACCGGCUAACUCCGUGCCAGCAGCCGCGGUAAUUC